AUUGAACGCUGGCGGCAGGCCUAACACAUGCAAGUCGAACGAGUGGCGGACGGGUGAGUAAUGUCUGGGAAACUGCAUGAUGGAGGGGGAUCACUACUGGCAACGGUAGCUAAUACCGCAUACCAGCGGAUGGGCCCAGAGGGGCUGAGCUAGGAGGUGGGGUAAAGGCUCACCACGGCGACGAUCCCUAGCUGGACUGAGAGGAUGACCAGCCACACUGGAACUGAGACACGGGCCAGACUCCUACGGGAGGCAGCAGUGGGGAAUAUUGCACAAUGGGCGCAAGCCUGAUGCAGCCAUGCCGCGUGUAUGAAGAAGGCCUGCGGGUUGUAAAGUACUUUCAGCGGGGAGGCGUUACCCGCAGAAGAAGCACCGGCUAACUCCGUGCCAGCAGCCGCGGUAAUAC
rnacentral:rRNA from 1 species